rnacentral:rRNA from 1 species
GACUAAGUGAUUAAAGAGGUCAUUAAGGAUGUCUAGCUAGCGCCUUGGAAAGGAAGCAAUAGUCCCCAUACGACUUUAAAUAUGUGGACACUCCUAUAGUAAACUAACAUAGGUAAGGUAUUGUCUAAAUUAGAACAGUAUAAACUAUCUAUAAUGUACACGCUGGGAACUAAAUCAUUAUAGUACCAGUAGGAAAGGAAACCAACCGAGACUCCGGUAGUAAUGGCGAGUGAACCCGGAUUAGCUUAACUGUAGACUGUGGUAAGUUGAAGGCUCUGGAAAGUGUCUAUACAGUACUACUAUGCUGUGCCAUAGAAGGUUAUAGCCCUGUCUACCUACUACUAUACAGUAACAAUAAGUAAAAUGAGGACGGCAGCCUUGUUUGAAUUAGGGGGUACCAUCCUCCAAAGCUAAGUAUAAGGCGUUAUAGCAAUAGUAAAGAGUAAUGUGAAUGAAUGAUGAAAAGCAGGUAGAUGACCGUUGAAACAGAUCCUGAAUUAGUGACCUUAUAAGCAAUGGAAGCUCAUAUCAAAGAGUUACCGUGUACCUUUUGCAUAAUGGGGUGCUUCAGGCCCAAAACGUUUAUUAACGUAGUCCUAGUUUACCAUAAUUGACUAGAAUGUCUUGACAAAGAUAUUGAGAGGCUCUAUACGAGUACUCUUGGCGAUGCAGGUGUUAACGGUUAAACGAAAAGUCAAUAGUAAGACCGUCGGUCAAUAGUAUAAUUUUAUUGAUCGCUACAGACUGGGUCACCUGUGGCAGUAUUAAUAUAUUGUUAAUGUACAGUCGAAGGAGAGUAACCAAUAAUUAUGGAUGACUUAGUAUACCAUAGUACUUUUCUUGAGCAAGUUCUUCUAAAUAGCAAGGCGUAUAGCCAUAGUGAAAGCGACCUAUUAUUGGUAUAGUUAACUAGAAGAGACCCGAAACCAGGUGAUCUAACCAUGGCCAGGCAUAUAAAGUGGCCGAACCUAUUAAUGUUGCAGAAUUAUGGGAAGAGCUGUGGUUAGUCAGUGAAAGGCUAAUCUAACCUGGUAAUAGCUGGUAUUCCGUGAAAUCUAUCUUAGUAGAGCACCAGUACUAACACUAUCGUAUGUACAGCACUGAUAAUCAUACCUAAUAGUAUUAUACUAUGUUAAAUUGGGGGGUCUUAUACCCUACCAUUGGUUAUUAACCUCGGAAGGACGAUAGUCAAUAACUGGUAGACAGUCUAUCCAUGAUAAGGUGGUUAGACAAGAGGGAAACAGCCCACAACAUGAGUUAAGGUCCCUAAGUAAUAAUUGAGUGAAAUAAAGAAAGUCCUUACCCUAUUACGAUCUUUAGGUAAGCUUGGAAGUAGCUACCUUUUAAUGAACGUUUAACCACGCAAAGAACUAAGGGUAGAGGCGUCUAAAAUUUAUCGGGUCUACAUUAUUCACCUACACCAUGUCUUUAAGGGUAACGGAACAUUCAGUACUCUAUGAACGUUAGGUUGUGCUUGACUGGAGGGUACUGAAGAGAGAAUGCUACCAUGAGUAACGUAUAAAGAGGGUAUAAUCCCUCUCGCCGUAUACGAUAGGUUUUCUAAGGAUAAUUUAAUAUACCUAGACUUAGGCGGUCUCUAAGGUUAACCAUGAAUAUGAUAACUGAUGAGUAUGUACUGAACCAUCUACUACUUAGUAGAUCAAGAAAAUCAAGUACACUAAAUCAACCGUACUUAAACCGACACAGGUUCGUAGGUAGAGUAUACCAAGGCGUAGAGCUAACACUCCUUAAGGAACUCGGCAAAAUGUGUCCGUAAGUUCGACGAUAAGGAUAACCAUAGCUUAUUAACCAAUUACAAGGUAUAUUUAAGACUAUGUGUGCCACAUAAACGUGAGCUGCGACUGUUUACCAAAAACACAGCUACCUGCUAAGACGUAUAAGAGUACUUGUAUAGGUAGUGAACUCUGCCCAAUGCCUCAUAAAGUAAGGAAGGUUAUCCUUUAGUAGGGUAAUUAACUGAUACGAGGUGAAUGGCGGUCUUAACUAUAAGGAUCUGAAAGUAGCGAAACUCCUUGGCUAUUAAAUGUAGUCCUGCAUGAAUGAGGUAACGUGGCUCAGCUGUCUCAAGGAGUGGCUCAGUGAAGUUGGAAUAACCGUGCAGAUACGGUUUACCUUCAGAUAGACAGGAAGACCCUAUACAGCUUUACUGUAGCUUGAUGUUGACGUCGUAGUUACUAGGUGUAGCAUACAAGGGAGAACUUAGUUCAAUAGUGAAAUACCUUGACUAGUAUAUUACGGUAUCUAAUCUAUAUAUAAUAAUGGUAUAGUAUAUUUACCUAAAGAGACAUCAUCAAGUGGUCAGUUUUACUGGGGCGGUAUUCUCUAACAUAGUAUCAGAGAACUACAAAGGUAUGGUUAAAUUGUUCACAAAUCAAUAGGUUAUGUAAGACCUUACAAAGUGUAAUGAUGAACCAUGCUUGACUAUAAGACUGAUGGGUCGAGUAGCUGCGCAAGCAAGUCAUAGUGAUCCGGUGAUACUUUAUGGUAUGGUCACCGCUCAGGAGAUAAAAGUUACGUUAGGGAUAACAGGUUAAUCGUUGCCAAGAGUUCACAUUGCCGCAACGGUUUGACACCUCGAUGUCGACUCAUCGCAUCCUCUUGGUGUAGUAGCUAAGAAGGGUUCGGCUGUUCGCCGAUUAAAGCGGUACGCGAGUUGGGUUAAUUGAGCCCACAAAUAUAAUUGGUAAUAAUUGCAGGAAGUAAACCAUUAAUAACCUGCAUCGGGUAAAUACUAUUAGUAACCCCGUUCAACGACUACUAAGUGAACACUGUCUGUAAUAAUCUUAGCCCGAGUACCAACAAUCAAUAAAUUGAAGAGAUAGUCUAAACAAUACUGUAUACCUCAUGAUUAACCUAACCAUAUAAGAUCAUGUGUACCUAUUGAACUAGUUAGUCCUAGUUAAACUAUAAGUCAAUACGACGUGAGUCAGUAUGGUCCUUAUCUUCUGAAGGUAACAAUAACCAAAGGGGUACCUGUGCCUAGUACGAAAGGACCGGUGUUGGGUAGUUCUAUAAUGUAUCUAUUGUUAUAUGGGUAUUAUCCCAGUAGCAUAGUAGAGUAGUUACAACUAUGAUCGAUAAGUACUGAACGCAUAUUAAGUACGAAGCUCCACCCUAGAGGUUAUUAGAAAUGUGAUAGAGACUAUGUCACACGUAUAGGAGGCAUAUGUACAUACAGUAAUGUAUUAAGUAUAGCCUUACUAAUUAAUUGAUUAACUUGGUCUA